rnacentral:rRNA from 1 species
UUGAUCCUGGCUCAGAUUGAACAUGGCAGGAUGCUUUACACAUACCGAAGUCGAACGGCAGCACGGACUUCGGUCUGGUGGCGAGUGGCGAACGGGUGAGUAAUGUAUCGGAACGUGCCCACAAGUAGCGGGGAUAACUACGCGAAAGCGUAGCUAAUACCACAUACGCCCUUCGAGAAAGCAGGGGACCUUCGGGCCUCACUAAUGCGACAGCCGAUAUCGGAUUAGCUAGUUGGUGGGGUAACGGCUCACCAGGCGAUCAUGGCUGGUUUGAGAGGACGACCAGCCACACUGGGACUGAACGGCGAACUCCUACGGGAGGCAGCAGUGAGAAUUUUGGACAAUGGGGGAAACCUGAUCCAGCCAUCCGCGUGUGCGAUGAAGGCCUUCCCGGGUUGUAAAGCACUUUUGGCAGGAAAAAGAAACGGCACGGGAUAAUACCCCGUGCAACUGACAGUACCUGCAGAAUAAGCACACCGGCUAACUACGUGCCAGCUUGAUGAUACGUAGGGUGCAGCGUUAAUCGGAGUACUGGGCGUAAAGCAUGCACGCCAAGCAGUUCGGAAAGAAGAUGCGAAAUCCCAGAGCUUAACUUUGGAACUGCAUUUUUAACUACCGAGCUAGAGUGUGUCAGAGGAGGUAGAUUCCGCGUGUAGCAGUGAAAUACGUAGAUAUGGAGGAACACCGAUGGCAGGCAGCCUCCUGGGAUAACACUGACGCUCAUGCACAGCGUGGGAGCAAACAGGAUUAGAUACCCUGGUGGUCCACGCCCUAAACGAUGUCAACUAGCUGUUGGGGCCUUCCGGGCCUUGGUAAGCGCAGCUAACGCGUGAAGUUGACCGCCUGGGAGUACGGUCGCAAGAUUAAAACUCAAAGGGAAUUGACGGGGACCGCACAAGCGGUGGAUGAUGUGGAUUAAUUCGAUGCAACGCGAAAAACCUUACCUACCCUUGACAUGUCUGGAAUCGAAGAGAUUUGGGAGUGCUCUGCGAACGGAACACAGGUGCUGCAUGGCUGUCGUCAGCUCGUGUCGUGAGAUGUUGGGUUAAGUCCCGCAACGAGCGCAACCCUUAUGUUGGAUUUGCUGAAAGGGCACUCUAAUGAGACUGCCGGUGACAAACCGGAGGAAGGUGGGGAUGACGUCAAGUCCUCAUGGCCCCCUUAUGGGUAGAACUACCCACGUCAUACAAUGGUCGGGACAGAGGUCGCCAACCGCGAGGAGAAUAAUCAGAAACCCGAUCGUAGUCCGGAUCGCAGUCUGCAACUCGACUGCGUGAAGUCGGAAUCGCUAGUAAUCGCGGAUCAGCAUGUCGCGAAAGUGAAUACGUUCCCGGGUCUUGUACACACCGCCCGUCGCACCAUGGGAGUAGGUUUUACCGAAGUAGUUAGCCUAAUGUAAAGGAGGCGAUUACCACGGGCGGGAUUCGUGACUGGGGGUGAAGUGUAACAAGGUAG